rnacentral:rRNA from 1 species
GAUGAACGCUAGCGGCAGGCUUAAUACAUGCAAGUCGUGGGGCAGCAUGAGUGUAGCAAUACAUUUGAUGGCGACCGGCAAACGGGUGCGGAACACGUACACAACCUUCCUAUAAGUGGGGAAUAGCCCAGAGAAAUUUGGAUUAAUACCCCGUAACAUAAUGAUGUGGCAUCACCUUAUUAUUAUAGCUUCGGCGCUUAUUGAUGGGUGUGCCGCUGAUUAGAUAGUUGGCGGGGUAACGGCCCACCAAGCCUACGAUCAGUAGCUGAUGUGAGAGCAUGGUCAGCCACACGGGCACUGAGACACGGGCCCGACUCCUACGGGAGGCAGCAGUAAGGAAGAUUGGUCAAUGGACGCAAGUUUGAACCAGCCAUGCCGCGUGAAGGAUUAAGGUCCUCUGGAUUGUAAACUUCUUUUAUCUGGGACGAAAAAAGGCGAUUCUUCGUCACUUGACGGUACCUUAUGAAUAAGCACCGGCUAACUCCGUGCCAGCAGCCGCCGUAAGAC